rnacentral:lncRNA from 1 species
CAUACCCUGCGGUGAAGCUUAAUGUGGUUCUUUCGGGAGGCACAUGGCUGGAACCUGAUCCAAUAGAUCGUUGCUUCACGGAUGGAAAUUUGGUUACUGGAGCAGCGUGGCCAGGCCACCCAGAGUUCAUUUCUCAGUUGAUGACAUUGCUUGAUGUUCAAGUAUCAUUCUAGCUCCAUUUACCAGGUCAACCGCUUGCGUGAGUUAUGUUUAACUAUUAUUCUGAAAUAAUAAGAGGUGUAUGCUAUGUUCGACCAGCGAAAGGCGAC